CUUAGGUGCUAAUAUCCAAAUCGAUAGUGAGUCCGAUAGUGAGUAAGGCCAAAUUUAAUGGUUCUUUAUGUAGUUGGGUGGAUACUUUGUUUUAGUCAGGAAUAUUUUUUUCUAGUACCUUUAGUUCACGUUGAUCACAAUUUGGGGUUACGUGUAAUCUAAGCCUUUAAUGUGAACGAUUUAAUAAGUUUAAUUGAUGUAAGUAAUGGUACAACAAGAAUAACUAUUAGUAAACUUUAAGAUACCUAGUAUACGGUUCAUUCGUAAAUAAAGUCUGGAUGCAGAUCAUCAGACUAGUCCUUGUCUACGUUAAGGAAGGAAAAGUUCCUUUCUCGCGAUCUCCGUAAACCAUACCGGUUCCGGAAUCUUGGGAACUUACCUUGAUGCACUCUUGUGUUGGAUCCACACAAGUGUGUCAUACUUUUGUGCCCGCACUCUUCCAUGCUCGGAAGCAUGAGAAGUGUUGCCUUUUAUUUCCCUUGUGUAAAUAUGUGGUAUAAUGUGGAUGUUUACCCACUUUGAGCCAAAUUCAAAAUUAAUGUUUUAGGUUAGAUUAGAUUAGUUAGUUGAUGUACUAAUCCUAUCUUUAACUUUGUGGAGUGGUUGUGACUGUAACUACAGCUACAACUGCUAGGAGCUACUACUCCUGACCCAUAUUAAAGUACUAACCCUGCCAAGAAUAAACUUCGUUUUGGUUUUUGCCAGAAUAAUUUUCUGAAGGAAAAUUAUAUCGAGUGGAGGGGGAAUGUAGCGUUCCGCUACGUUUACGAGUAGCCACUCCCGACAACCGUAAUAAUUAACAUCGAAUAACAAAAAGUUACCUUACGAUCGAGGUAGGAAAAUGAAAACAGAAUUAGUGCUAGCUAACCAACGACUUAAGAAGGUCAAAUACAGACAAAUAUGUGUUGGAGAAAAAACGGCAGAUGUCAUACAUAAAAGAAUAGGAGAUAUUCAAUAAAUCUAUUUUGGAAUUGCAAUUACAAAGCAAGCUAAAUAUAUCUGUAAAGAUAUAAUAUUCCUAAAAUGAACGUCUGCCGUACCUAGAGAAUUAUAAAAUAGAACCAAGCUUUUAAUAUCCCACAAAGACAACUUAUAUGGAAAAUGCACUAAGAAUAACAUUCCUAUUAAUUAUCUGGAACGUAAAUCUUCCCUAAGAUGUGUAUACUCCUAGAGCCGCUUACCGUCUGAUAAACCGGCACGUCCAUAAGCCAACACUUGGAAUUAGAGCUGAAGGAAUUUCAUCUAGAUUGGAACAAAGAUAAGUGUACUUAAUUAAUGUUCUCAUUUAUAGACCGAAUUGUGUUCCGCAAUAUAUUAUAUAUUUAUUCUACAUUUGUUGUUAAGCAUUAGAUUAUUUUUUAACUUCCCUUAUCAUAUCUUUUACUAUCGGUUGUGUCUACACAACAAAUAAUAUGUUGUCAAUUUUUCAUCUAAAUCUCAAUGCAUGUAAGGGAACAUAAGUACUUAUAGACCUAGAGCAUUGGUCUCUAUAGGGUUCAUUACAUAAUAACUUAGGUAUUGUGGUAGAUAAUAUACAAGUAUAUUAAUACGGUAUUAUGAAGAAUAUCAUCUGGUUCUGUUGACUAGCACUCACUAUUGUUUUUCUGUCUCUUUAUUGUUUGUAUCUGAAAGAAACGUAAACUCAUAUAAAUCAUUUAAUAGUCGGAAACUUUUACGUUAUCUGCUUAUAUCUUGGCAACCAAAAUUUUAACAUUACUCAUAUUCAUUAUUUAUAUUAUUAAUUAAAUUUUACUAUUAUAUAUUCAUCUUGCAAGCCAAUGUUUUACAUUAUUAUACAUUAUUUAUAUUUUUAGCUAGAAAUUUUACAUUAUAUAUAUAUACAUUAGUUACCAAAAUCUUACUUUACAUAUAUCUAGGUAUUUUUUUUACACAAUAAAAAUAAGGUAUACCUA